rnacentral:rRNA from 1 species
UACAGAGGUCUCAAGCGUUGUUCGGAUUCAUUGGGCGUAAAGGGUGCGUAGGCGGUCGUGCAAGUCGGAUGUGAAAUCUCAGGGCUCAACCCUGAAACUGCAUUCGAUACUGCGUGGCUAGAGUGCUGGAGAGGAGAUUGGAAUUUACGGUGUAGCAGUGAAAUGCGUAGAUAUCGUAAGGAAGACCAGUGGCGAAGGCGAAUCUCUGGACAGUUACUGACACUGAGGCACGAAGGCCAGGGGAGCAAACGGG